AGUGGCGAACGGGUAAGUAAUGUAUGACAACUGCGCUAGGGUUGGAAUAACUCUGCGAAAGUGGAGUAAUACCGGAUGUAGGUUGUAUCCGGCAUCAGGAAACAAUUAGAGGUGGGGACCUUCGGGCCUACUGUUUAGGGAGGAGCUCAUAUCCUAUAAGCUUGUAGGUGGGGUAAAAGCCCACCAAGGCUAGUAAUGGGUAGCCGGCCUGAGAGGGUAGACCGGGGACACUGGGACUGAGGCACUGCCCAGACUCCUACGGGAGGCUGCAGUCGAGAAUCUUUCGCAAUGGGGGAAACCCUGACGAAGCGACGCCGCGUGAGCGAUGAAGGCCUUCGGGUUGUAAAGCUCUGUCGCCUGGGAAAAAUGGCCAGUAUGUAAAUACCAUUCUGGUUUGAUGUUACCAGGAAAGGAAGCCCCGGCUAACUCUAGUGCCAGCAGCCGCGGUAAUACAGAGGGGGCAAGCGUUGUUCGGAUUUACUGGGCGUAAAGGGUGCGCAGGCGGCCUUAAAAGUCAGAUGUGAAAUAUUCCGGCUCACCCGGGAAACUGCAUCUGAAACUCUAAGGCUUGAGUAUGUGGGAAGAAAGUGGAAUUCUCGGAGUAGCGGUGGAA
rnacentral:rRNA from 1 species